rnacentral:rRNA from 1 species
GUCCACGGCCAUGCCACCCUGAACAAGCCCGAUCUGGCCUGAUCUCGGAAGCUAAGCAGGGUCGGGCCUGGUUAGUACUUGGAUGGGAGACCACCUAGGAAGACCAGGUGCUGUAGGCG